rnacentral:misc_RNA from 1 species
UUUGUUACUUUCGCAUCGUUCGGUGCAUUCUGGGGGCYGUUUUGGCUUUUGGUUGCUUGCUUGGCCUUUUGGUUGGGUGGGUCGCUACUAGUCGGGUGGCUUUCGGGAAUGACGACCGGGAAGGUGCAUGAGUGGUGAUUGGUUUGUUACGUGUGGAUGGCUGUUUGCUUGCGCACCAACGUCCACGCUGCAUACCUCUUCAGUUUUGCGGCAAGACUCGGUUUGUCUUGAGCAUAUUGUGGGUUUCAUGUGUUGCAUACCUAAUUGAUGGUAACGUGUGGGUUUUAUGAUCCUCCUUUUCGUCAUGCGUCGUUCAUGCGGCGUGGGAUGAACAAUGAAGCGGUCUUUGUGAUCCACCGUGUUGUUGCGUUUGCAACAAYGAGGUGGCUUAUGAAGCAUCGUUUGGUCUCUUGUAUAUGGAACCUGAUGUGGGCUUGGGUCUUUUCUAAGAUCUUCAUUUUGCCCUCGUUAAGUGUUUUUGCUUCUCCAAAACGAUUG